rnacentral:rRNA from 1 species
UGCCAGCCGCCGCGGUAAUACGAAGGUGGCGAGCGUUGUUCGGAUUUACUGGGCAUAAAGGGCGUGUAGGCGGCUUGGUAAGCGGAGUGUGAAAGCCCAGGGCUCAACCCUGGAACUGCAUUCCGAACUGCCGGGCUAGAGGACAGGAGGGGGAUCUGGAACUCUAGGUGGAGCGGUGAAAUGCGUAGAUAUCUAGAGGAACGCCGGUGGCGAAAGCGAGAUCCUGGCCUGUCCCUGACGCUGAGGCGCGAAAGCGUGGGUAGCAAACAGGAUUAGAUA